GAUGAACGCUGGCGGCGUGCCUAAUACAUGCAAGUCGAGCGAACAGACGAGGAGUUUUCUCCUCUGACGUUAUCGGCGGACGGGUGAGUAACACGUGGUUAACCUACCUCUACGACUGGGAUAACUUCGGGAAACCGGAGCUACUACCCGAUAAUAUAUCGCACCGGAUGGUUCAAUAGUGAAAUACGGUUUUGCUGUCACUUAUAGAUGGAUACGCGCCGCAUUAGCUAGUUGGUAAGGUAGCGGCUUACCAAGGCAACGAGGGGUAACCGACCCGAGAGGGUCAACCGCCAGACUGUAACAGAGGAACGGUCCACACUCCUACAGUGGGAAGCGGUAGGGAAUCUUCCGCGAAGGGCGAGUGCCUAACAGUGCAACACCGCCGGAAGGAUGAAGGUCUUCGGAUCGUAAAACGCUGUAAGUAGUGAAGAACAAAAGUGUAAUUAACUAUGCACGUCUUGACGGUACCGGAACAGAAAGCCACGGCUAACUACGUG
rnacentral:rRNA from 1 species